rnacentral:rRNA from 1 species
CCUACGGGGGGCUGCAGUAGGGAAUCUUCCGCAAUGGACGAAAGUCUGACGGAGCAACGCCGCGUGAGCGAAGAAGGCCUUCGGGUCGUAAAGCUCUGUUGUUAGGGAAGAACAAGUAACGCAGUAACUAGCGUUACCUUGACGGUACCUAACGAGAAAGCCACGGCUAACUACGUGCCAGCAGCCGCGGUAAUACGUAGGUGGCAAGCGUUGUCCGGAAUUAUUGGGCGUAAAGCGCGCGCAGGCGGUUCCUUAAGUCUGAUGUGAAAGCCCACGGCUCAACCGUGGAGGGUCAUUGGAAACUGGGGGACUUGAGUGCAGAAGAGGAGAGCGGAAUUCCACGUGUAGCGGUGAAAUGCGUAGAUAUCAGGAGGAAUACCAGUGGCGAAGGCGACUUUCUGGACUUAAACUGACGCUGAGGUACGAAAGCGUGGGGAGCAAACAGGAUUAGAUACCCGGGUAGUC